GAUGAACGCUGGCGGCGUGCUUAACACAUGCAAGUCGAACGAAGCACUUUAUUUGAUUUCCCUCGGGAUUGAUUAUUUUGUGACUGAGUGGCGGACGGGUGAGUAACGCGUGGGUAACCUGCCUUGUACAGGGGGAUAACAGUUGGAAACGGCUGCUAAUACCGCAUAAGCGCACGGCAUCGCAUGAUGCAGUGUGAAAAACUCCGGUGGUAUAAGAUGGACCCGCGUUGGAUUAGCUAGUUGGUGAGGUAACGGCCCACCAAGGCGACGAUCCAUAGCCGACCUGAGAGGGUGACCGGCCACAUUGGGACUGAGACACGGCCCAAACUCCUACGGGAGGCAGCAGUGGGGAAUAUUGCACAAUGGGCGAAAGCCUGAUGCAGCGACGCCGCGUGAGCGAAGAAGUAUUUCGGUAUGUAAAGCUCUAUCAGCAGGGAAGAUAAUGACGGUACCUGACUAAGAAGCACCGGC
rnacentral:rRNA from 1 species